rnacentral:rRNA from 1 species
GGAAGGGGUGUAUUUAUUAGAUAAAAAACCAAUGCCCUUCGGGGCUCCUUGGUGAUUCAUAAUAACUUGACGAAUCGCAUGGCCUUGCGCCGGCGAUGGUUCAUUCAAAUUUCUGCCCUAUCAACUUUCGAUGGUAAGAUAGUGGCUUACCAUGGUCUCAACGGGUAACGGGGAAUUAGGGUUCUAUUCCGGAGAGGGAGCCUGAGGAACGGCUACCACAUCCAAGGAAGGCAGCAGGCGCGCAAAUUACCCAAUCCCGACACGGGGAGGUAGUGACAAUAAAUACUGAUACAGGGCUCUUUUGGGUCUUGUAAUUGGAAUGAGUACAAUCUAAAUCCCUUAACGAGGAACAAUUGGAGGGCAAGUCUGGUGCCAGCAGCCGCGGUAAU